UUUAUAUCGAGUUCCGACAUU
rnacentral:piRNA from 1 species